rnacentral:rRNA from 1 species
AUUGAACGCUGGCGGCAUGCCUUACACAUGCAAGUCGAACGGUAACAGGUCUUCGGAUGCUGACGAGUGGCGAACGGGUGAGUAAUACAUCGGAACGUGCCUAGUAGUGGGGGAUAACUACUCGAAAGAGUGGCUAAUACCGCAUGAGAUCUACGGAUGAAAGCAGGGGAUCGCAAGACCUGGUGCUACUCGAGCGGCCGAUGGCAGAUUAGGUAGUUGGUGGGAUAAAAGCUUACCAAGCCGACGAUCUGUAGCUGUUCUGAGAGGACGAGACGCGACUCGGGGACUGGGAAACGGCCCAGCCGCCCACGGGAGGCGGCAGUGGGGAAGUUUGGACAAUGGUCGAAAGCCGGGUCCAGCUAUGCCGCGCGGAGGAUGAAGGCGUUCGGGUUGGAAACUGCUUUUGUACGGAACGAAAAGCCCCGGGUGAAUACCCUGGGGUCAUGACGGGACCGUAAGAAUAAGCACCGGCUAACUACGUGCCAGCCGCCGCUGUAA